GAGGGUAUAGCUCAGUGGUAAAGUACAUGCCUAGCAUGCAUGAGGUCCUGAGUUCAAUCCCCAGCACUAGCA
rnacentral:tRNA from 1 species